rnacentral:rRNA from 1 species
GCGAGCGACGGACCAGGAGGGGGGGUGAUACGGGGGGGGCGAGCGUUGGUCGGGGGUACUGGGGGGAAAGGGUGUGUGGGGGGUUUGCUAAGUUCCGUGUGAAAUCUCCCGGCUCAACUGGGAGGGUGCGCGGGAAACUGGAGGGCUUGAGUAUGGGAGAGGAAAGCGGAAUUCCUGGUGUAGCGGUGAAAUGCGUAGAUAUCAGGAGGAACACCUGUGGUGUAGACAGCUUUCUGGACCAUCACUGACGCUGAGACACGAAAGCGUGGGUAGCAAACAGGAUUAGAUACCCGAGUAGUC